rnacentral:rRNA from 1 species
UUUAUGGAGAGUUUGAUCCUGGCUCAGGAUGAACGCUGGCGGCGUGCCUAAUACAUGCAAGUCGAGCGAACGGACGAGAAGCUUGCUUCUCUGAUGUUAGCGGCGGACGGGUGAGUAACACGUGGAUAACCUACCUAUAAGACUGGGAUAACUU